rnacentral:lncRNA from 1 species
AUGACUAAAGAAUUCAGAGAGGCUGUUGAAAGUAAUAGGCCUCCUCAAGAAGAAGACACUGUUGAUCUUCAGCUGAAAAAGUUGUUUACAACUUUACGUGAAAUUGAAACUAACACAAAGGGCAUCUCAUCAAUACUAGGCAUUGAUGAUGUAUACAUGCAAUGUGAUGCGGCUGAGUAUUUUGAGAAGAUUUUAGGCAUGGUCAAUCCUGAAGUGUCAAAGGUAGGCUACUGCAUUUACUUACCUCAUCUUGGGCAAAACCUGAUAGCUAACCAUGCAAUGUUUAUAAGUUAUGAUAUGACAAGACUGACAAUAGUUUGUCUCCAGAUCUUCAAAGGACAAUUGAGGCACAUCACUACCUGUUUAGGAAAACAUGUGAUGAGUGAUGGAUUUGGUCCAUUUUGGACACUGCCCCUCUCAAUAGCAGAUCCCUCUGACUCUUACAAAACCUACAGUGUGGUAGGAAAAAUAUAUCUUAACCUAAAGCAAAAAAACAUUGUUUUAUGA